AUUUAAGAAUAAGCCCCCUGUAACAAACAUUACUAUCCUUGUGGACAGCGGUGGCACGGUAAUAAGAAAAAUAUUGUACUCGCCAAUCAUCGUAACUACGAAUUAAGGUAUCUUCAACCGCUAUAAUAGAUAACGAAUGUAUGAUAACAUUCUUGAACAAUAUCUUUUGACUGUAUCUAUUUUCAUAGAUGAAAAAGGAAUAUUAUUAAACGAUCCAUUGUGCUUUUAUUUUUUUGCUAUAUUAAAAUAAAUUUCCCCGUAAAUUGCAUUAUAAUAUGGGGGGGGAGGGAAAUACACUAUCAACGCCUCAGUCAAUACCUGGAGGCGGUUCCUCCCAGAUUAUGCCUAUGGAAUAUUCAGAAUAAAAAAUGAAUUUACUUAAAUUUGCAGUUAAGAUAGUAAAUAAGAUGCGCUUUAAUCAAGCCAUUUAUUUGUCAGAUUUUUUUUUAAGGUUACAAACAAUGGGGUAAUUCUGUAGGUUAAACAUUUACUAUACAGCGGCGAAGUUCGAAGAGACACAAGUGUGCUACCAUUUCAAAAUUGAGUUUAUCCGAAAAAUGAAACAGCAAAAACAAAAGGGUAUCGAUUGUUUAUUUGAGAAAACUAGACGUGUUGAUAAUUUCUAAUUAAAUAUUACCUUAGUAUAGUAUAAU